GUGGGGAAUCUUAGACAAUGGGGGAAACCCUGAUCUAGCCAUGCCGCGUGAGCGAUGAAGGCCUUAGGGUUGUAAAGCUCUUUCAGAGGGGAAGAUAAUGACGGUACCCUCAGAAGAAGCCCCGGCUAACUCCGUGCCAGCAGCCGCGGUAAUACGGAGGGGGCUAGCGUUGUUCGGAAUUACUGGGCGUAAAGCGCACGUAGGCGGACCAGAAAGUCAGGGGUGAAAUCCCGGGGCUCAACCCAGGAACUGCCUUUGAAACUCCUGGUCUUGAGGUAGAGAGAGGUGAGUUGAAUUCCGAGUGUAGAGGUGAAAUUCGUAGAUAUUCGGAGGAACACCAGUGGCGAAGGCGGCUCACUGGCUCGAUACUGACGCUGAGGUGCGAAAGCGUGGGGAGCAAACAGGAUUAGAAACCCCAGUAGUCC
rnacentral:rRNA from 1 species